GUAAGCGCAGCGAUGCGUUGAGCUAACCGGUACUAAUGAACCGUGAGGCUUAACCUUACAACGCCGAAG
rnacentral:rRNA from 12 species